UUCUCUUUAGACAAAUAAAAUAUGUAUGUGGUGAUGAAUGCAACAAUUGGACAAGCAGAAAAGAAGAGGAAAACAAAACAAAUGCAUUCCUAAGGCAAGCACAAGUACACGUUUACUAAUUUGUGCAAAUCAAAGCAAUCUUCUUGAUUUAUAUUAAUGUUCAUUAAUUGUAUUUAGUUAUUUUAUCUUUUAAAUUUGAUAAAUACUAUUUGAACGGAUGUCCUCAGCAGUUGAACCCAAUCAAGUACAAGUUCAAAUAUUAGCAUAUUGAAUGCUAACUUUUUGCCAUCUCAAUUCAACUCUGAUUUUAUUGCAGACCUGGAAGUAAAGCAAUUUGUGCAUAUAUAAUUACCAUUUUUCUUCUUUUAGAUGAUUUAUAUUUAGUUAUUCACUCCCCUGUUAUUUAUUUCCUAGAAAUUACACACUCAUGAUUCAAGGAUAAUAAAUGAUGAUUUCUUGUGGAAAGCUUUUGCUGAUUUUUUUUUUUUUUUUUCACGCACCUUAUAAGUAGUAGUGACAAUGAUGUCUGUGCAAGGUGAUGCACCUAAUUGCCACAUAAUUUUAUUUCACUCAAUAUUUUAUAUUUAAUCAAAGUUGCAGAGUACUGUAUCUUUUUCUUUGCUGGUAUUAUAUUGAAUUACUCUUUUGACUUUGUAACUGGUUGAGAUAAACUGUUGUUUGGGGAUUAACAUGGUAGUGCAUACGACCAAACCAUUUUAUGGGGGAAUUCACAUUAAGAUGCAAAAAAUUAAAGGUCUUGAUAAAUUUUAAGGGAGCUGUGGUUGAUGAUCAGGUAGUUAUUAUCUAGAGGUAUCUAUGACAUGAAGCAUUAGGCUAUUCAAGAAAAGGUUUAUUACUGUCUCGACCCAUGGUUGAUAUUUGAUACACACAUGUGAUGGUUAUUCUGACUCUGAAUGAGAUACUGGCUCCGGCUAUGGCUGUUUAACUCAUGCAUAAUAACAUCACAAAGCUCAUGGUCUCAAGGUUAUUGUUUUCAAUCAUAUGUUUGAAAACUUUUGCUUGACAUGAAUCGAAUUAUUUUAAUAAAUAUUUUUUUCCCCUUAUUUUUAUUUUGUCUUUUAGAGUGCUACUAUAUUGGCACUUCUUUUAGAGAGUUUCCAUAGUCUUAUAUUUAAUCGAAGGCUUGGGAUAUUUAUAGUUUUUAUCGUAUUUUGGAUCAAUGAUAAAGAAAAGAUUUAUUUUAUGCAGGCAUGAAUUAAUAAGAUCUUGGUGGCGCUCCUCUUAGUUUUCGUUAUACAACUUUCAGAGAAAACCAAUUUACAUGCUUUUCGAUGUUAAUCAAACACAUCAUAUUUUUUUAUUAUCUCCUUGCUCUUUAUCCUCUUCUUGGUUGCAAUGUGGAAUUACAUGAAGCAGUGAAGAGCAACACGAUCAAAAGAAACUCCGAAGAGAAGCCUGCUACUAAACCACGAACGAAAAAAUCUAUUCAAUCAGCAUACAG
rnacentral:lncRNA from 1 species